GACGAACGCUGGCGGCGUGCCUAAUACAUGCAAGUAGAACGCUGAAGGAGGAGCUUGCUUCUCUGGAUGAGUUGCGAACGGGUGAGUAACGCGUAGGUAACCUGCCUGGUAGCGGGGGAUAACUAUUGGAAACGAUAGCUAAUACCGCAUAAGAGUAGAUGUUGCAUGACAUUUGCUUAAAAGGUGCAAUUGCAUCACUACCAGAUGGACCUGCGUUGUAUUAGCUAGUUGGUGAGGUAACGGCUCACCAAGGCAACGAUACAUAGCCGACCUGAGAGGGUGAUCGGCCACACUGGGACUGAGAAACGGCCCAGACUCCUACGGGAGGCAGCAGUAGGGAAUCUUCGGCAAUGGACGGAAGUCUGACCGAGCAACGCCGCGUGAGUGAAGAAGGUUUUCGGAUCGUAAAGCUCUGUUGUAAGAGAAGAACGAGUGUGAGAGUGGAAAGUUCACACUGUGACGGUAUCUUACCAGAAAGGGACGGCUAACUACGUG
rnacentral:rRNA from 1 species